rnacentral:lncRNA from 1 species
AGGAAUAUUAAAGGAUGGAAUUUAAGGCUAUGACAUGACAAGUACUAAAAACGAUCUUAUACUUGGGAGAUUUAAGGUGUUAAAACGAUACCAAUCUUGUAAUGUUUUUCCAAAUCUCUACAAUUCAACCUCAGUUUUAUUUAUAGGUUAGAAAUUUCAAAAGAUGUACUGUAUUUCUAAGUCUAGAUUUUUGCAAAAAAAAUUGUAUGGCUUAAGCAAAU